GAAGAGAGAAGAAGCAUCAAAAUAUCAUGCAAAGGUACUUGCAUUAUGAAAUAUAGAUGAGCAUUAUUUGGCCCUGAUUUGAAUAGUUUGCUGAUACAUUAGUCGCUUCGGUCCUGGAUAAAGCAUGCUGUGAAGAGGGAUAAAGCACACUUAUUUUGGCGCUGUUUUUGUAGUUCUAUCAGUCUAUCUUUGCCUUGCACACCUCAAAAAAAUGCAUCAUUCUAUCUCUGAGAUUUUUCUUAGUCGUAUAGACUUAUUAUUGCUACUUCUAUUAGUCGAACACAGUUGGAAAAGUGAUUUUGGUUCUGUUGUGAUUUCUCUGAAGUUACCAUUCCAGCUUGAUAUGUCUUAUUUUAGCCUUUACUGGACGGGGGAAGAAGAAACCGCGCCAUCGUGCUAUCCUUUAGACAUGCUGACUCCACCCUGAUGUGUCGAGACCAGACCUCGACGACACUUCCUUGGACCUCUGGGCUGGAUCUCAUCGGUGGUUGCUUGACUCUGGGCUGGAUCUCUUGCUCGACCUGCAGCUGUCUCUUGAUAUCCAUUUUGUGGUUUAGUAUGACAGUGAACCGAGUCAUCAACAUUGCAUGGGUACUCGGUGUGACGUCCACCCCCCGAGUUGCCGAGUCAUAUAUUGUUUCCGUAUUGUUCUUAUUCAUGUGACUCAUAAGUCAUAAUGCAAAAAAUAAUAUGCGUCCAAGGAAGCAGGCCAGAUAUAUUGCUUUCCAUAUAUAUAGUUAAGUCUACUUCGUUAGUCCUCCCUGUUGACACUGAGUUUUUUUGUGUGUGGCUAUUAGCCAAGUAGCAAGCCAGAAUUUGACUCAUUGUUAUAUGAAUUAAAUAUGGAUUGUGUUAUGUCCAUAGUAAGAUAUGUAGGGCAAAAGAUCGGCCUAUUAGGUAAUUGUACUGUUCGGCUGUGAACACCACGGCUACACUUGAUGUGUGUAGUUGCAUAUUCUUGCUAUAUUCUAUUCUGACUAUCAUGCUUCUUUAUUUCCAAUAUAUUAGUCCAACGAAUGAUAUGGCUUCCUAAUUUUUUAUAAUUACAAUAUGGUCUGAUUGACAUUUUAUACGUUUCUCUCAUUCUUUGGCCUGGUUUGAACUCAUAUGUAUUAAAGGUUGUCUUGCAACAAAUGCAUCUUCAG
rnacentral:lncRNA from 1 species